rnacentral:sRNA from 1 species
AAUGGGAUAGCCAUACUCAAACAGAGUAAACGCUCACCCUAAAAAAGGCGGCCAUUCGGCCGCCAAGGU